UCUGAGGCCAUGGUUAUAAAGCAAAAAAGGUGAACUUUUUGCUCUGUCUGGAGAUCAUUAAUGCCUAAAGUAGAUGAGUUCAAGUAUCUGAGUGUCUUGUUCAUUAGUUAUGGUAGAAGAAAACAGAAUAUGGAUAGAUGAAUCAGGACAUUGUCUGCAGUAAUGGAUUUGCUGCUUCAAUCUGUUUAUGAAAAAAAAGCCCAUCCAAAAAGCAAAGCUCUUAAUUUAUUGCUUUGUCUGUGUCCGGCCUUGUGAUCAUGAGAUACCAAUCAUUAAAAAAUUGAUAUCUCAGAAAAAAGGCCAUUGAAAUUAGCUACCUCCAUAGGGUGGCUGAACUCAUUCCAAAUUUUAGAAGAGGGACUAAGUACCCCUUCUGGACAGGGAAAGCCUGGGUAUCCCCUUGAAUUAGAAGGAGGGUGUUGCUGAGGAAAAUGAUGUUUGAAUUUCCCCCCUGGAUCUGUCAUCAUCCUGUCAUGAUCUACCAUUUAGUAUUUUGUGUUUGUUUACUUUUUCUCAGUUGGAGGCUUUCUGUUCCUCCAGGCCAGUAGUUUACUUCUGUUAGUUGUUAUUUCCUAGAGUCUUGUGUUUCAUGUGUUUUAUGUUUUCCUAUAGAUCUGUUUUCCCUGGGUUUUGUUAAUUAGUUUUCUUUUUCCUCCUCAUAUCUCUGUUUUCCUGUGCUGUCACGUCUCAUUAGUUGCAAUUAGACACAUUCCCUCAGCCUCCCUGCAGCCCUGUCUACACCUGUUACAUGUUUCCCCUGAUUACCCGCCUCCCAGUUUCAUUGGUUCACACUCCACUUCCCUCAGUUUAAAAACUUGCUGGUUUUCAUUGUUCCUUGUUGGUUCCUCCUGUUUUCUUCCCUGUAGGUACCUGGCUUCAUGUCCUUGUUCUGGCUCACCCAUAAGUCUCAAAAUCUCUGGCAGAUCAGUUUGUGCAUCUCUAGCUGUUGUGGUCUGAUGUAACAUUUGAAGCUGUGAGUUUGGGGAUUUCCACUCAGAAGUGACAAGCAGGUAUUUGUGGACCCAGGUGAAGGAACGCUCAACACUAAAUCCCUGGAAACACAAAUCUGACCCAGAAAGUUGCCAUAUAUGUGCAGUCAGGGCAGAAGGUCAGUAAUUUGGAGCCUGGCUCUGCAGUACGUUUUUUCCUUUUAAAAAGAAGGUGUUCCUUUCCACUGUCGCCACAUGCUUGGUCAAGAUGAGAGAGUCCUGAGCAGCCAGUGACUUGCCUCCACUCACCGCCGCUGGAAGCCUCAGCGCAGACAGUGACCGCCACGCAGCAGAGCAGGAGGAUACGCAGAGGACCGCUGCGUUGCCAGGAAGUCAUCCUUCACACUCUGGGAUGCCUGAGACGAGAGAGCCUGAAACGCUACUAGAGGUGGAGGUGGGGUCGGACCGGGUGACACUUAGCUCCGUGCGUCCGGCGCCGCGCCAACAAUAGCCGGGACUGCCGAAGCGAGCCACGGGACAUUGUCCUUCACCCAAUAACCCCCUAAUCCCGGAGAGGUGUUUACAAACCCCGGCUCAAAUGAGCUUACAAGCGCCCUCCCCCGUGGACCACGGGACAAAGGUGGACUGCAGCGACAGCUGCGGCUCAGGUCCCUCCAUCUAUUUUCCAGGUGUGUUGUCGCUCUCUCUCUCUCAGCUGCCCAGUGGAAGUCUGAAGCCGCGCCGAGGGGUGUUACUGGAGUAGCGAAGGAGGCAGAGAGAGCGAAGAAGCUGCUUCGUUCAGCUUAACCGGCGCACUCCGACGUCGCUGGCGGAAAACAUCACGCACUGGAGUCCAGGAGAACAAGCGUGUUUUAACCGCUGCACUGACUCAGGCAGCCGGAUGGCAUGGCAACGCGUUUACUCCGAGAGGGGAGGGAAGAGAGACAAAUAAGGAGACAGAGGGGAGGGAGAGAUGGGCUGUAAAGUGCUUUCUACAACGAGUUGUGAUGUGGUGCAUUCCAAAGUGAACCGUGGCCUUGGACUGAGCGUUGAUGUUUAUGCUGCUGCUUAGGGGAGCCAUUUAGCAGCACUGAGAGCUCUCGUGUUGGGGGGUGAACCUGAAUCCUGGUGGGAGGAUGAAUGAUGGAGGACAUAGCCAGAACUCUAGAGGGGUUCACAACCUGGAGCUCCAGGCGGAGGUCUGUCUCUUUUGUGCUGGGAUUCCAGUGACUCUGAGUAACCUCUCCUAUUCAACUCAGCUCCAGCCAGAUUCUCGAAAUAACACAGCAUUUGGAGCCAGAGCAAAACAGAAAAGGGAACAAUAGCUUGUCCUCCUCGUGGUAUCAUCCUGCUUGGCUCUUCUAAAAGUAUGCCAAAUAAAACAGACCGAGCCAACCCAAGACACAAGCAAACUGAACUGUAGCGCAGCAACCCUCAUUUCCAUCCUCUACUCAGCUGGUAAAAAUGUCUGGGCUCUAUAAGCCACAACAGAAUUUCUAUAGGAACCAAGAAAUGUAUGUUUUGGUACUUUUAACAAGCACGCCACAUUCUAUCAAUAAAUAUCUCAUUUAAAUUGAAUGU